UACGUAGGGGGCUAGCGUUGUCCGGAAUCAUUGGGCGUAAAGCGCGCGUAGGCGGCCCGGUAAGUCCGCUGUAAAAGUCAAAGGCUCAACCUUUGAAUGUCAGUGGAUACUGCCGGGCUAGAGUCCGGAAGAGGCGAGUGGAACUCCUGGUGUAGCGGUGGAAUGCGCAGAUAUCAGGAAGAACACCCGUGGCGAAGGCGGCUUUCUGGGACGGUACUGACGCUGAGACGCGAAAGCGUGGGGAGCGAACAGG
rnacentral:rRNA from 1 species